ACAUUGGCUACAGGUGAGAACUAAACUCAAUUAAUACAUUGGCUACAACUGAGAACUAAACUCAAUUAAUACAUUGGCUACAGGUGAGAACUAAACUAAAUUAAUACAUUGGCUAUAGGUGAGAACUAAACUCAAUUAAUACAUGGCAUAAUAAACAUGGCGGG